UUGAAACACUGGUUCUCAUAUGGUCACCAAAGUUAAGCAACAUUGAGCCUUGUUAGUAUUUAGAUGGGUGACCUCUUGUGAAUACCAGAUGCUGUAAG